GGGCCCGUAGUUCAGUGGCAGAACAUUCGCUUAGCAUAUGAAACUGCGAAAGGUCCAGGGUUCGAUUCCCUGCCGGUCCA